UACGAAGGGGGCUAGCGUUGCUCGGAAUCACUGGGCGUAAAGGGCGCGUAGGCGGCCGAUUAAGUCGGGGGUGAAAGCCUGUGGCUCAACCACAGAAUUGCCUUCGAUACUGGUUGGCUUGAGACCGGAAGAGGACAGCGGAACUGCGAGUGUAGAGGUGAAAUUCGUAGAUAUUCGCAAGAACACCCGUGGCGAAGGCGGCUCUCUGGUACGUGACUGACGCUGAGACGCGAAAGCGUGGGGAGCAAACAGG
rnacentral:rRNA from 1 species